rnacentral:rRNA from 1 species
UACGUAUGGGGCAAGCGUUAUCCGGAAUUAUUGGGCGUAAAGAGUGCGUAGGUGGUUACCUAAGCGCAAGGUUUAAUCUUGAGGCUCAACCUCAUUCUGCCUUGCGAACUGGGCUACUUGAGUGCAGGAGGGGAAAGCGGAAUUCCCAGUGUAGCGGUGAAAUGCGUAGAUAUUGGGAAGAACACCGGUGGCGAAGGCGACUUGCUGGGCAGCAACUGACGCUGAGGCGCGAAAGCCAGGGGAGCAAACGGGAUUAGAUACCCCCGUAGUCCCUGA